GACAGUCGUCAUCCUGAAUGAUUAGCGGGAGGUGUUUCAUUCAUACCAUUUCCCAAACCUGCAAGAUCACUGGAAAAAUGUCUGCAUUGGAUUCGGUUAGAAUCUAUGUGGUCGGCCAAGAGAACAGCUGAACGUAGACGUCCUGAGAGAUCGUGCUAAAGGGAAACACUUUUAUGUGUGUUCAAAGCACUUCAAAUAUGGAGAGCCAACACCAGACUUCCCUGACUCAGAGUCUGCUUCGCAGAACGAUAAGCCUGCCACUCCCUGCAGACCUCCACCCCGGGCCCGGGGAAGAAAUUCCACAGUGACACAUGUGACGCACACAUCAGACAGAAUAGACCAACAUACUGUUAGUAGAAACACAAAAUCUGGAUAUGCUGGCAUUGACUGCAGAAAACACAAAGAUGAAGGAAGAAAUUGAGUUAUUGAAGGGAGAACAGAACAGACUCAGGGAGGAAACAGCAAAAUUGGUA